AAUGAAUUGACGGGGGCCCGCACAAGCGGUGGAGCAUGUGGUUUAAUUCGAUGCAACGCGAAGAACCUUACCUGGUCUUGACAUCCACAGAACUUUCCAGAGAUGGAUUGGUGCCUUCGGGAACUGUGAGACAGGUGCUGCAUGGCUGUCGUCAGCUCGUGUUGUGAAAUGUUGGGUUAAGUCCCGCAACGAGCGCAACCCU
rnacentral:rRNA from 1 species